UACGGGGGGGGCAAGCGUUGUUCGGAAUUAUUGGGCGUAAAGAGCUCGUAGGCGGUUCGAUAAGUCGGACGUGAAAUCUCCACGCUCAACGUGGAGGGGCCGUUCGAUACUGUCGUGACUCGAGUCCGGUAGGGGAGUGUGGAAUUCCCGGUGUAGCGGUGAAAUGCGCAGAGAUCGGGAGGAACACCCGUAGCGAAGGCGGCACUCUGGGCCGGUACUGACGCUGAGGAGCGAAAGCGUGGGGAGCAAACAGG
rnacentral:rRNA from 1 species